CUCCCUUAUAUCCUAGCAUCAAACUUAUGCAUGAAAAUUAAGCGUGCACUCUCAACCAACAUACACAAAUCAAUUUUAAUUCAUGUAGAUAAGUAAAUUGAAUUCACAACUUAUGAAACGCAAUUAGAAGUAAUCAAAUCAUAUAGCAAGCAUAAACAUGGUUUCGAAUCCCCCCUAGCCAAGGGGGGUUUAGUUCCUCAUACUCACAAAGGAAAGAUACAUAAAUUUAGACAUUAAAAUCCAAAGAAAGAAAACACCUAGAUGAUCCAACUUGGACAGCAGGUGCAUCCACAAGUCUUCUUUCCUCCUUGCUGCGGCACUUGGUCUAAAGUCAGGUUCUAGGGUGGUAUUUGUAUGGGAGAAUGGGUAGGGAAUGGUAUGGAAGGGUUUAGGAUUAAUGGGGGGGGGGUACGGCUAGGGUAAAAAGAAUCAGAAAAAUAUGGAAGAAUGGUGAAGGAAGGCUGUGGCAAAGAGAGGGAAUGAUUUCUGGCGAAAAUUCUGAAUAUGGAGGGGUAGUUGAUGUGUUUUUUGAUGUAGUGUCAAUGUGUAGUGUUCUUCCCUUCACUCCCUAUUUAUAGAAGCUCCAAAGCAAAGAAUCACUCAAGUGGCUUCAAUAAACAAUACAAACAAAGACCAAAAUGAUGCAAAAACAGUUAGUUUACAUGCUCUUUUAUCAUUGUGUCUUGCCUUUAACAAAAGGCAAUCAUUCAUUUUUUGCUAAUUCAACUCCUUUGUAGCUGUCCAUGUGCCUUCAUUCUUCAAUUUCUGAUGCAUUUUCCUUGUAUUCCAUCCCUUUUCCACAUGUACUAGCUGUUAGACAACUUUCACACACAUGUUUUGCAUCAUUUCAUCUUGCAAACAUCAACUUUUGACCACUUUACACCUCUACACACAUGCUAUGCAUCAUUUCAGCUUGCAAUUAUGUUUGUAGUUGCUGAAAAUGUGAAUACAUCUUGUAAAGCAAUCCAACAAAUGGCAUCUUUAACUUCUUUUCCUUUCAAAUUGUUCCUUAGGUGUAUGUAUCUGCACACUUCCACAAUUCAACUUCAUUAUUCAGAUUUUUGCAUGUGUUGAAACCCUUUUUAAAACUCCAAAAACGUCCAUCCCACUUGCUCCAUAUGCAUGCAAUCCAUUUUGGCCCAAAAUUGCUCCAAAUUGCACCAAAAUGCACUUUCUUUCCAACUUUGUUAUUAGGACCUACAAACACACGAAAAUAGCUUCAAACUCUUAUAAGCAAUAACUAACUAAGUAAAUGCAAGAAAACAUGUUAACUAAGUCGCAUAAAUAUGCUCCUAUCAAAUUCCCCCACACUUAGCUUUUGCUAGUCCUCGAGCAAAACGAAACAAACAAACAAAACAAAGUAAAUAAAACACAUUCUAAUCCUUCCAACAUUUGCCUCAGGGAUUUCCAAUGCACAUGACAUGUUAAAAAUCAUUAUUCCCACAGAUUUUAGUUAUCUUCACACUUGAGCACAUACUUAAUCACAGUCACCACUUACUAGUUCAUAUUUAACCAAUUAAAAUGAUGUUUUGAAUGUAGUAACAUGCCUUAGAGAAUUUGCUCAAUUCCUUACAAGAUACUCUCUAUUUUCACACAUUUUCUAACUACACACCCUACACUAGUUAUAUGUGAGAAGAUUGAUGUAAACAUGGAAACGAACACUCACAUAUAUGUGUUACAAAGAAAACAAUUUCUGGAGUUAUUAAGCAUGUUUAGAUAUGAUCUCAUGAAUGGAAUGCUACUAUUUAGAUGCGAGAACCAGUGACACCAUAUGCUCAUACCAAAUUCAAACUCCACAAAUUGAAACACAUAACACUUAAGAUUGAAGUCAAGGGUUGUAACGGGGCUUGGGGUAAUGGUUAACAAAGGAAAGAUAGGGAUAACAAACGUUCUUAAAGCAAUAGCAAGCAAAGUAAUGAAAUCGAAACUUAGAAUUCACUUUAGAAUGCAGAAAUCAACUUUUAACACAAAUGGAAGAUUUCAGCAACACUUAGGGCCGAAUUCAAUGUUUUGGACCCUUUCUUCAACAAACAACACUUUAGAACUCUUUUUCAUACAUUUUCACAACUUUUCCCCUUUUUUUUUUUUUUUCCGACCUGUGCCUUAUUAAGGACUUUGGCACACACACACACAAGAAUCACUUCCCCCACACUUGUUUUAUGCAAUACAUUAAUCAAAAGGAAUUCAAUUUGAGUCAUGCUUUACUAUGCUUCAAGAACAAGGGUAUGGAUGGUCCUAAUCUAGGUGAGGAUAGUGUGGGUUAACAAAGAACGUAGGCUAAACAAGGCCCAACGGGGUUAAACUUAAACAUAUAAUGAAUGGGAUAGGCUUUUUGGCUCUCGGCUCACUAAACAACUUCAUCUUGAAUAUGUGUUAUGCAAAUCAAUAACAUGCUUUGUAUGAAAUAGGCAUGAGUUCUAGCAUUUGGAACUAAAUGAUGAAACGCCUUCUAAGUAGCAACCAAGCAAAGAAUAAUGAGAUCAUGCAACGACUUUAGAAAACAAUGAUGCACAGUUUAUUAACUCUCCAAAUAAACGUUUAGGCUCAAGUCUCACAAGGUUGUAGCGUACAUUUGAGUUCCUUCUCUCAAGCAUGUUACAAAAUUGAUUUUUCCUUUAUGAUUGCAUGUGAAUUUAUAAAUUAUAACCACAACCAAGCAUACACUAAAGAGUAAAUCAAUUUUUCGUCCAUGUUUAUAACUCUCUUUAACAGUCAUGUAAUUAAAAACCAAAUCCUCAUCAUUGUGUUGGAAGGUACCCUAAGACACAUACAAAAACAACUCUUUUUGGUUUUUUUUCAAAACAAUUUUUCAAUUUUUUAUGAGAUUUUCGGAUUUUUAUGUCAAAACACACUAAAAUACUCCAAAAUAGCUUUAAAACACUUAAAACAGCAAGGAACAACACUAGAAGUAAUGGGUGAUAAACUCCUACGAAUUUCAUGCAAAACAACUUGGUUACCCCCCCACACUUAAAUCAAACAUUGUCCUCAAUGUUUUAAGCAUAAACUCACACAAAAACAAGCAAACAAACAAUUAACGAAUACACAUGACAAAUAUGGCAAAGUAAAAACCAGACAGAGUAGAGUUUAAGAACGCAAAUCUGGUUUUGGAGAUAGAUGAUCUUGUUGACUUUCCACAGCUUUGAUCUCGAACUGGUUUGGAAUUCUGAGCGAGAGUUGCACAGUCUGCAUUCUUCUCUGCUUGUUUCUUCUGCAUGGCAGGUAGUCACGAGGUAGAGGUGGUGGUCUGUUUCUUUCUUCAAUCUUUCCAAGUGCCUACCUCUUGCUUUCUUUCUCCUUGUCCCUAGUUGAGGAUAAAUCAGCACGUUGUCUCCACAUGCUUCGAGGUAUCAUUUUCACUUCCCUUAUCUGUUCCCCAGGCAGAUGUGGGAGACGAAGCGAAAGCAUAAGAUGAUGAAGAUGAGUACUUGAGAGCAAGGCUAGGUAAGCAAUCAGGAAGGGGUUCCAGGUAGUUGGUUCCAGAUUGGACGAUUGAUACCAAGUGCUGGUUGAUUGCUCUCUUUCUCCUUGUCCCAAAACAACGAUAAGGAGAAGGACAUGGAGAAAGCAUGAUAUGAGAUACUCUUGCUUUCAACCUUCAUGAUAUGAAAUACUUUU
rnacentral:lncRNA from 1 species